ensembl:miRNA
UCUGUUCAUCUGGACGUAGCGUUUCUCCCACUGAAAACGUCCAGACGAACAGAAUC